rnacentral:rRNA from 1 species
CAUGCAAGUCGAGUGCGCGUUCCGGUAGCAAUACCGGAAUGGCGCACGGCGCACGGGUGCGUAACACGUGGGUAACCUGCCCUUUGGUGGGGAAUAACCCCGGGAAACCGGGGCUAAUUCCGCAUAAGAUCCGCAAGGAUGAAAGCCGCAAGGCGCCGAUGGAGGGGCCCGCGCACGAUUAGCUAGUUGGUGAGGUAAAGGCUCACCAAGGCAAUGAUCGUUAGCUGGUCUGAGAGGAUGGCCAGCCACACUGGAACUGAGACACGGUCCAGACUCCUACGGGAGGCAGCAGUGGGGAAUCUUGCACAAUGGGCGAAAGCCUGAUGCAGCGACGCCGCGUGGGGGAUGAAGCUUCUCGGAGUGUAAACCCCUUUCGACCCGGACGAAUACCUCGCAAGAGGGGUGACGGUACGGGUAUAAGAAGCCCCGGCUAACUACGUGCCAGCAGCCGCGGUAAGACGUAGGGGGCCGGCGUCGUUCGGAAUUACUGGGUGUAAAGGGUCAGUAGGCGGUGUGGCAAGUUGGGAGUGAAAUCUAUGGGCUCAANCCAUAGGCUGCUUCCAAAACUGCUGUGCUUGA